UACGUAGGGUGCAAGCGUUGUCCGGAAUUAUUGGGCGUAAAGAGCUCGUAGGCGGUUUGUCGCGUCUGCUGUGAAAACUCAGGGCUUAACUCUGAGCUUGCAGUGGGUACGGGGCAGACUAGAGUGCGGUAGGGGAGACUGGAAUUCCUGGUGUAGCGGUGAAAUGCGCAGAUAUCAGGAGGAACACCGGUGGCGAAGGCGG
rnacentral:rRNA from 1 species